CCUACGGGAGGCAGCAGUGAGGAAUAUUGGUCAAUGGGCGAGAGUCUGAACCAGCCAAGUAGCGUGAAGGAUGACUGCCCUAUGGGUUGUACACUUCUUUUAUAAAGGAAUAAAACGCGGCACGUGUGCCUUUUUGCAUGUACUUUAUGAAUAAGGAUCGGCUAACUCCGUGCCAGCAGCCGCGGUAAUACGGAGGAUCCGAGCGUUAUCCGGAUUUAUUGGGUUUACAGGGAGCGUAGAUGGGUUGUUAAGUCAGUUGUGAAAGUUUGCGGCUCAACCGUAAAAUUGCAAUUGAUACUGGCAGUCUUGAGUACAGUUGAGGUAGGAGGAAUUCGUGGUGUAGCGGUGAAAUGCUUAGAUAUCACGAAGAACCCCGAGUGCGAAGGCAGCUUACUAAACUGUGACUGACAUUGAUGCUCGAAAGUGUGGGUAGCAAACAGGAUUAGAUACCCCUGUAGUC
rnacentral:rRNA from 1 species